AAAGGAAAAGCAAGUUGAGGGCCAAGGGUAGGUGGGUGAAGAAAGAGCUGAUCUCUGUGCCCAGCAGUAACCUCAGGCUGCAGAAAACCAUGCCAAGGGGUUGGGGUUGAGGGCUCUCUGCAGAAAUCCAACCAGCCACCUGUCCGGGAGGUUGGUGGUUGGAUUUCAACCCCUACAUACAGCCCUUUGCCUGCAACUUUCCCCACCCAUUUCCCAUCCUUGAUCAGUAAUGCAUUCUGGGCCUAGCCUGGCCCAAGAAACAGAGGGUACUGUGGCUGCUAUAGGAAAGACACCCAUCUUUCUGGGGAGGGAGCACCCAGAAGAGGACAGAUAAAGCCCUGAGGAUGCAGAUGCCUGCUGAGGCAGCUCAGAUUGCGGACUGCCAAGCAAGCCCUACCGAGAUUAUGAAAGCUACAUGGGAGAAGUAGAGGAGAAACUUGAAUAGAAGAGAAGAGAAAUGCUUCCUGGCCAAGGGGACUGGUAUGCACAGCGCAGGACACAGGACCAGGAGACAAGGACUGAUCCUGAGGAAGUGGAGCAGAGCACCCUGUCAUCUGUCUUAAAUCAGCAGUUUUCAACCUAUGGAUCAAAACUCCUUAGGGGAGAACGACCCUUUCCCGAUCACCUGAGACCAUCAGAAAACACAGACAGGGUCGAGCCUGGACUCCUUCCUGGAACAGCUAGGGAAAGAUCCUAGAAAAACCAGGCUGGUGCAAGUGGAGUGAAAACCGGGAAGCUGUACACGGGCUCAGCAGUAUUUCCUUCUAGCCCAGGCCUGAGCGGGAACUCGAAGCUCACCCUCCCCUGCCACCCUCUUGACUUUGGGAGCUCUCCAGCGCACCCAUCUAACACGACCCGUCCCUACAGCUCCAGAGUUAGGACUCUGGGGCCAAGAGAGCAUAGACUCACACCUGUAACUCCAACACCUGGAAGGCUAAAGCAGGAGUACUGCCAGAAGUUCAAGGCCAGGGUUGGACGGCAGGCCCCAUCAGACCAUGACCUUGGUGCUUCUUAGAUCUACACCCCUCCCCCUUCUUUGCCUAUUCAACUGCAACUGAUACUCCAGACAAACCCCAGAAGGCGACCCUGGAAAUUUCUGGAACAUCAAGUGUCAUGCACAAGAACACGCACUUUGAACCAAGGGGCUGAGUAUCCUGAAAAGUUCUGGAAAGGCUAGGCGGCGGCGGCGGCGGCGGCGGCAGUGUGCCGGCUGGAGCAGAGGAAACGCUUCCUCAUUCCAAAGGCUGCGACUCACUCACGGACGUCGGCGCCCGCCCCCCGCGGCCGCCCAGCUGGGGACACGGAGGCCCAGGACAGGGGAGUUUCCUAACAUUCCCACGGACCAGCCUUUCUCCUCCGUCCUCCCAGUCCGCGCCUGCUAAAAGGUAGCCAUCCGGCGGCCGCAGUGCACGGGAUCUGGCCUCUGCUCAGGGUCUCUCGGGAGGCUCUUAGGUCCCAGCCACCUCUCCUGGCCGGGGAAGGCUGCAGCACUGCUCAACAGAAACUGCAACUGGAGCUCUGGCCACCGGAAUGCACGCAGGAGCCCCGGGUCCUGUGCUUUUUCUCCGCCUGUCUAGAUGUCAGUUUGCCGCUCCGCGAAAUGGGGGUGAACCAAGAGGAGAAGGAGCCCGCGCGAGUGC